UUUGAGGGAACAACAGUGUUUGAGAUUCGCGGUACAGUAAAAUCCUGUUAUAGUGGACUCGCUUAUAACGGAAUGUCGUCAAUAACGGACGAGGUCCGCUGUUCCCGGCCGUGCAUCUUUAAGAACAUGCAGAAAAAGCAUCGAUAUAUCGAGAUAAAGUCAAAUUUUCAUUCUGCGGCACCUGUCAACUUUGGUCAGGAGAUUUUCAAUUCGAGACAAGUCUGCACACGCAUUUACAUUGCUGGAAAACCAUCUUCAGAUGAUUCCAACAGGCUGCUCGGACUCACAGUGGCAAGCAGACGGAGCAAUGAUUACAGGGUGCACAUACCACUUCCUGUCUAAUAUAGGGCGUAAUAAACAGUAUGAAGAAGCACAGCACAUUUUCAGUAAUGAGGCUGCCACAGAGAACCAAUUCAGUGCAUUCUGGGAAGUCAACAGACAUGUAAGGAAAAGACACAGCAAGACAAGGGAGAGCGGGGUCUAGUGUUUACAUAUAUUUAUUAUUCUGUAACAAGGCCUCCGAUUGGUAUAGAAUGCAUUAAACAGAUUUUUGCUUAUUACACAAAA